rnacentral:rRNA from 1 species
CCUACGGGAGGCAGCAGUGGGGAAUAUUGCACAAUGGGGGAAACCCUGAUGCAGCGACGCCACGUGAGUGAAGAAGUAAUUCGUUAUGUAAAGCUCUAUCAGCAGGGAAGAAAAUGACGGUACCUGAGUAAGAAGCCCCGGCUAACUACGUGCCAGCAGCCGCGGUAAGACGUAGGGGGCAAGCGUUAUCCGGAUUUACUGGGUGUAAAGGGAGCGUAGACGGCAGUGCAAGUCUGGAGUGAAAGGCGGGGGCUCAACCCCCGGACUGCUCUGGAAACUGUACGGCUGGAGUGCAGGAGAGGUAAGUGGAAUUCCUAGUGUAGCGGUGAAAUGCGUAGAUAUUAGGAGGAACACCAGUGGCGAAGGCGGCUUACUGGACUGUAACUGACGUUGAGGCUCGAAAGCGUGGGGAGCAAACAGGAUUAGAUACCCGUGUAGUC